UUCGGUUUCCUUCAACAGCUUCUCCUUUUCUCAGUUAUCCAUUUGGGGCUUUAGCUUGUAUCUUGUGUCUUUAAAUAAAACAGCUGACUUGCCUUGCCUGUGACCUCUGGGAAUAAUUUAAUUCUUGCAGUGGGAACUAAAUAUCCACACAGCAGCAAAUGAAAAUUCUUCUCUGACCCCCAAACCCCAGACAUGUGGGCUCCUCAGUGCUCUCCUUGGCUUGGAGAUUGGGGAAUGUCCAUGCACUGUCUUUUUAAUAUUCCAAACCAUCUCAGAGGUCAAAGCUGUAAAUCUCAACAAGAUAUGGAUGUCAAACCUUUGUACAAUGAGGGAGGUAUGUGAAUUUUUAUAAGUGGAGGUAUACUGUAACAGAGAGACAGGGUCAUUUAGUGAUCUAUCCAGUCUGCAGUUUUAUGAUAGAGCAGGAAGUCUGAAAGGGGAAGAAAUUAACAUUAAUUCAAUGCUCAAUUAAUGCUAGGCCACUUGGAGUGAAUUAACAUAUCCAAUUCUCACAACAAAGUUGCUAUCCAUCUAUUUUACAGAUGAGGAAGGUGAGAAUUAGAGCGAUUUAAUAAAGUGCUUAAAUUCACACACAUGAGGGGAGACAGAAGCACAGCACAGGCUCAUGUCGAACAGCAUUCUGAGCACAUAAUAUGAACAAACUCAGGAAGAAAGCCCGCCUACUCUUUUCCUGUGGACUGUGGCAAUACUCUGCCAGUCUAGUACAGUAGUACUAGUAUUUUUCCUCUUGCUCCUUUGCCCGCCCUUUUGAAAAGCUUUGGUUACCUCUCAGGAGCUUCAGUGAGGUCUCCCUCACUUCUUCAGGCCUUGCUUCCCAAUGGGGUGAAAGUGGCAGCAGCAUGGACCCUUUGCCAGAGCAUCAGGAAGGCAAUGCUCCUGAUCGAAAGAAGACACGCUACCUGUGAGUUGAAGCGUUCUGGAUGCAGACUAACAGGUAAAGUGAUUGGAACUUGGUCUUGGCUGACUUAUAGGCUUUGGCUGGACAGUGAAUGUGGGAGAGGCUGUCCCAGGACUGUAGGGGCUAGAGUGACUGAAACUACAGGUUGGGAGAGCACCAGGAGCAUUUGGGUGGUACAACUGCAGACUGGUUGGUUAGAGAGGAGGGCUCAUUCAUGUGAUGAAAUGACAGACAGUCAAAGGGAGGGGGACAAUGGAGACUGCUUCUGCCCUUGCGAUUUGGUAGUUUCAGGCAUCUCUGUUAAAUGGGGACAAACAGCGCUGACCUUCCCCCAUAGGCAGGCUGAGGGUUCUGAAUCAUCAGUGACUGGAAGUGGUAAGCUCCAUUAUGUAGGGCAGGAUAUUAUACCCACCAGCCAGCCAUUCUGUGCAGUUGGAUUUUUGUUCCACUGAAAGAGUCUCUUGGUGUGAGCUCAAUAACUAGGGGCGUGCUGGUAGUUUCUCUGCGUUGCCAGAGGAUUUCUUCCAGUGCCUCCUGCUCUGAAGCACCUCUUAUGAUUAAUUAACCUUUUGUGGAAUAACUAGGACAUCUGUGUGGGAUGAGAUGUACUUCGGUCAGACUUCAGCUUUGAGUUCCUCAGCAAGAGGAUAAUUAAUUAUAAAGAGCUGUAUGUGAGCAGAAGAGAGUUGGAGGAAGUCCAAAUGAAGCAAACAUCUAAUUAUCAAUGAGCAGGAAGACUUUUAUUUUUGUAAGUCAUUGUUGUUGUAGGAACAAAUAAAAUGCUUAAGGCAAAGUAAAUAAGAGGUAGUAAUCACAAGAUGCUUGCUUUGACUGAAUGCUUAGUGUAAAAAGAAAAUUUGGAUUUUUUUUGUUGUUGUUGUUGUUGUUUUGUUUUGGAGCUAAGGUAAUGAACUAAAUGUAACCAGAUACUGAAAAUGGAGGCCAAGUUAGUUUCUCAGAUGAGGAUGCAUUCCUUCUGAGAUAAUUGUUCUGUUGACUUUUAACAAGGGCACAUCCGGCAUCAUCUGCCAUUAUUAUCGCUUGCAAGAGGCAAUAAGUAGCAAUCUCUUAUCUGGAGAAGAAGGUUGGGCGGAGACACAAAGUAAGAGAUAAUAUAUAAGAAGCUAAAAACUGCAAAAUCAAUUUCUUUAACAGAAACGGCUUUUGUGGUGGAGAUAGUUUCCCAACGCCUUGCUCCCUGAGGUGAACCUCCGCAACAUUUAGCUUUGUCUGUAGAAUACAAAUCUUUCCCAGAGCCCAUUUGCCCGGCAUGGUCUGAGUCUGGCGUGACUUCCAUUGUCACAGUGAUGUUAGUGGGUUAGGGGGGAAAUUUCCACCCUGAAAAUAAUAUUGCAUUCGCUAAUUCAGUUAUUAAUGAUACUGUGCGACUUCUUCUGAGCAUGAAUAUGCUUCUCUAGAUAGGCUUAGAAAACCCACUACCCUUCCACUGCCCCGGUGCCUUUAUUUGUUCAUUCUUCCUACUGCUGUAAAAGUUCUCAUGCCUCCUCUGCUUCUCUCUACCUCUGUUGCUUCCGGUUAGUAUUUAGAGAACACCAGAUGCAUCUCUCAGUGUCUAUAACUUUCUACUGUCUGCUGUUGUUGGAGGAUAAUUCUCCUUGGGUGUCUUGCAGGUCUGCAUACACAAUGAUCAGAGAAAACGACAAAUUUUGCUCUGGACUGUCUGUUCGUGGUUAUUUGCAUUGUGUGCAGGCUUGGAAGAUAAUGAUAGCUUCACCCUCCAGAGAGAAGGGCAGCCAUUUUUAUUGUUAUGGAUAAUAAAGAUAUCGUCUCUUUUGGGGGCCAAGUUUGGAGUAAUCAUUUAAACAAAGUGUAGGUCAAGUUCUCAACUACUUAUUAAAGCAUAGUUUACCUUUUUAGGAGAAGUGGGGCUUUGUUGGAAGAAGUUAGGCCCUUGGUGAAUGUUUUGAGAACCUAGUUCCUUUAUCUGUACUUUGAUUUUUUUGGGGGCCAUGAGGUUCUGCCUUUCCUCAUUACAUGCUUCUCACCAUGCCUUGCUUCAGACACAUGACACCUGAGUCAGCCAGUUACAGACUGGAACCUUGGAAGUUUUCAGAUCUUUCCUUCCUGAAGUCAUCCUUGCCAACUGUAUCGCCAAAGACAUGAAGUCUAGCAAAUGCACCAGUACCUCACGUGAAUGGAUGGAGUUACCCCUUAGGAACAUAGUGUAAUAGGAGACAAGGGGAACUGGCGCACUUGAAGUUUAUGUUUGCUAUGUCAUAAGUCAUUUGUCUCUAUCCUGGGAAUUUUGUGGUACUCCCAUCCAUUAAACUGUGACAGGAGAACUUGUUAGUUUACAACAUAGAUGAAAUCGCUUCACUGUUCGUGAUGUAGGCCUUAUAUUCAGACUGUCAAAAAAAAAAGGUUAGGGUUAGACAGGGUUAACUAGACAUUACCCAGCACGGAGGGCACUUUUAGUGCUGACUGCCAUCUUAGACGGCAGCACAAACCAGGCAGUGCAUUACUGAUUUUAGAACAGAGCUCUCUUUCUUGGGCCAUUCACAUGGGCAAACUUUCAAGGUUGCUUUAUUAAAUUAUUGGGACCUGCAAAUGAAUGAUUCAGUCAAGGGGGACUGUGGGAAAGCCCUUUGAGGUUCUCAGAAGCAAGUAUUAGAACUCUCACCUUCCCCAAAUGCCUAGGGAAAUGUUAUUCAGAAAUGGCUGUUGCCUUAGUUGUUUCUGUAUUCUGCUAUUUUUGUGAUCACUGAUGAGUAUAUACUUUCCGCAGUUCACUACUCCUCCGCCUAAAAACGAAGUGUUUGGUGAAGCUUGCAUUUCUAUUUUGGACAGCUGAGCUGAGUGCUUGAGUCUGGACUGUGGCUCUCCUUCAGUAUUUAUUCCUUCAUUAGAAGAGUGGUCAGAAGGCUGGCUGGGAUACCUUCUUGCCAGGUGCAGGCAUGGCCCCUGGCUGGCUUCAGUCCACCAGUGAAGUUCCUUUUCUUUUGUUCCUGGGAUACAGAUCGUGUCUUCGCUUUGUGUGCGUGGUUUUCUGUAAGAAUGUGAACCUUAUGGGGGUAGUUUUCAUCUUUCACUAACGGAGAAGACAGCCUGAAAA
rnacentral:sRNA from 1 species